UACUUAUUACAUUAUUAAAGUAUGAAAUGAGCUAUGCAUUUGCAUCAUGAUUUAAAUUGGUGUUAUUUAUAAUCAAUUAUUAAAGAAAGUCGAGUAAGAAUAUUGUUGGUGUUCUUAACUCAAGAGAAAUAUUUUUAAUUAUUUAUUCAUUAAAUUUUGAAAACCCGGCUAAGUGAAUCAUAGAAUAUUAAGCACUACACCAUGACUUAAGAUUAGAAUUCAAGGAGACCUAUUGAGAAUAGAUUUCUUGUAGGCUUUGUGAUGACCAGGAGGAUUAGCGCUAUUUUUCCAAGACAGGUUUAUAUGUGUAUGAUCUUCAGGCUUUGCCUAUCCAGGUUGGCUGGCCGGUGCUGACGGGACGGAGCUGAGGCUAGAGAUAAAUUCCUAUGUUAGACUUCCGCUGUAGCAAUUACUCUUAUACAUCUUUUGUUUUCUCAACUUAAGAUGACUUCAUUUGAGCUUCAAUUUAAAAUUUAUAGUUUUAUGUUAAUGAACGUCGGUUGUCAGAAGCAUGAAACAAAACUUGUGAUCCAAAGGGGCCUAGCCUGACUUUCUAUCCUAUUUCGGGUUUUAACAAGGUAUUUCCCUUGUUUAUUUCUAUGAAUUAUUCACACCUCGAUUAUAUUUA